UGGCUUAGUUGGUUAAAGCGCCGGACUAGCGAUACGGAGUCGUGGGUUCGAAUCCCAC
rnacentral:tRNA from 1 species